rnacentral:rRNA from 1 species
AUGAGAGAGGAUAGGAGAAGAGCCGCCGGAGGUAUGAUGGAUGCGACCCCUGGCGAAAUGGAAGGUAUAUCAAUGGAGAUCGUUCCCGGGACCGGCGGAACGGAAGGUUCGUCAAUGGAGAUCGUUCCCGCGACCGGCGGCAUGGAAGGUAUGACGGAUGCGACCCCUGGUGAAAUGGAAGGUAUGUCAAUGGAGGACUCGUUGAUCGAUGGCAACAGGGAUCUCUUAUUAUCAUUUGAUUCCACUGAAGGACUUCCAGCGGCAAUGGAUCAUACGGACGUCCCACUCGAGAGGGUUGUGGUAGAAGAUGAAGAAGGAUUACUUGAUCUCCCACCUGAAUACGCGGAUCCAGCGAUGCUUGUUCCUAAGGUGGGACAAAGUUUCAUGACCGAAAGAGAUGCUUUCAAUCUAUACAACAUCUAUGCUGUGCGGAUGGGUUUUGGAAUUCGACUGUCGAAGCUGCGUUUUAGUGCAUCGAAGAAAUUGACUAUGCGGGAAUUUUGUUGUUCGCAUCAGGGAAAAAAUCCUAAGACAAAAAAACCUUCAGUGCGUGUUGGGUGUGGCACUAUGUUGAGGAUUAAUAGACCAAUUGGUGAGGGGUCGUGGACAGUGACUAAGUUUGUAGAGGACCAUAACCAUGAGCUUAAGGAGGCAAUUGGUGUGACUAAGAAUUACAAGUCACAUAAUCAAAUUGAUGAGGGGACUAGACAUGUCAUUGCAGACAUGGUGGAUAGCGGUAUGAGGUCGACCAACAUGUACGGUUUAUUGUCAGGGUUUUGUGGAGGAGCUUCAAUGGUCCCGUUCUCGCGUAGGAUGAUGGACAGGCUAGCUUAUGCUAUCAAGAGGGAUGAGUGCAGUGAAGAUGUAGAGCUGACCCUUGAUCUUUUCAAAGAGUUGCAGAGCAAUUCCAGCAAUUUUUUCUAUAGUGUGCAGGUUGACAAGGCAUGCCGUGUGAAGAAUAUAUUCUGGUCUCAUGCUGUAUCAAGGAGGAAUUUUCAAGCCUUUGGCGAUGUUGUGACGUUUGAUACUACAUAUAAGACUAAUAGUUACAACAUGCCAUUUGCUCCGUUCGUAGGAGUGAAUAAUCAUUUUCAGAGCAUAUUGUUUGGGUGUGCAUUACUUAGAGAUGAGACAGUUGAGUCUUUCAAUUGGUUGUUCUCUACGUUCAGGAAGUGCAUGAAUGGAAAGGAGCCGCAGUGCAUACUUACCGAUAAUUGCCAACAGAUGGCCGCCUCUAUUAAAAAAGUUUUUCCAAAAGCGUCUCAUCGUGUUUGCAAGUGGCAUAUACUUAAGAAGGUGAGGGAAAAUUGUGGAAAUAUCUACAGCACUAGAGAAACAUUCAAAGAAGACUUUCAUAGGGUGUUAACUCAGAUGUUGACAGUAGAUGAGUUUGAGGGGGCAUGGAAGGAAUUAAUUUCCGAGUAUAAGCUGGAAGAUUGUGUGUAUCUGAAGCAGAUGUGGGAUAUCAGGGAAAAGUGGGCAUUUCCUUAUUUUGGGCAGUUGUUCUAUGCUGGAAUGACAACUACACAGAGGAGCGAGUCAGUUAAUUAUGUCUUGAAAAGGUUUGUUAUGCCGGCCUCUUCGAUGAAUGGUUUCGUAAAGAAGUAUGAGAGAUUCUUCAUAGACAGAUUACAGAUGGAAGAUUAUGAGGAAUUUCAUACUAAACACGACAAAGUUGUUAUGAAGACUAGAUCACCAUUGGAAAGACAUGCUUCAAAGGUAUAUACUCGUGGUGUAUUCAACUUAUUUGUGGAGCAGCUAUUGGAAAGUUUGUCCUUCAAGGUCGUCGCGACUGAUGAGGAGAGUGUCUUUAAAAUAGUACGUAUUGGGGGUUUUUCUCGGAACAUCUGGCGACGGCACCGUUAUGAAGUGUAUGCAGACCUUGAAAGCAUGACAUUUUCAUGUGUAUGUAAGAUGUUUGAGCACAAGGGUAUACUGUGUUGUCAUGUGCUUAGUGUCCUGAUACAUGAUGGUUGCGCUGAGAUCCCAGAGCAGUAUGUCUUGAAGCGAUGGACGAAGGAUGCUAGAGACCGUGUGCCUUCAUUCCUGGAGGGUUACAAAGAUGAUGUUGAUGCCGCUGCUUCUCAGACGUACAGGCAUCUGGUGCUCCAUACGACAUCAGAGGAGGUAAAUCGUCUUGGUAACAAAUACAUGAAGGCUUACAAGGUGACCAUGGAAGACCUAUCUCAAUUGGUGGAAAAACUGAGAAAGGUCUGUCUGGAGGAAGAGCAGGCUAUUCUGGAAGGGGCAGAAGUUGAGGGUGAUGUACAUAAUCAGACGCAUGAUCGUACAACAGCUGAUGGUGAUAGAACGCCAGGAGAAGGAGAUAGUACUCCCCAUGUCCAUGAAGUCAGUGAAGGCCCAUUCAAGGAAGGGGUGAGUAUGGAAGAUAUUUUGCCACCUGUUAAGAAUCGUCCAAGAGGCAGGCCAAAAACUACAAGAUGGAAAACUGGUGGGGAAGUAGCUAGUACAAAGAAGAGUGGUAAGAAAGUGGGUGGCAACAGUGAUAGCACAAAGCAAGGUGGAGAUGCUUCUGGGAAGAAAGAGUCUGACAUCAUUAGGUAUUGUGGAGAAUGUGGUGACCAGGGACAUAAUAAGACGACAUGUGGGAAGCCAUCCACGUACAAGAGGAAGUAUGUUUACAAGGAAUAG